CGCUAACCCCGGCAGAACUCAUGUGGCCUAUUAGGUCUUUGUUUAUAUUAAAAUGGUUGAAUCACAAGAGCAUCUAAAUUAUGUAUGCUUACAAAUUACUAAAGUGGAAUCAAAGCACGUACUAAAUAAGGGUGGGACACGAGCGAAGAGACUAAGCGGACGGGACGCAGAGGCACCAAGUGAAGUAGUCAACCCACAACGAAUAGAUAAGAUGUCCAUAUACUAGACGAGCCAGCAACGAUCAUGGCUCUAUUGGAGACACGAAGAGAAGUGGAGAACCCACAAAGAAUAAAGAGUUGCCCAUUAACUAGACGAGCUAGCAACGAUCAUGGCCAUUGGAGACGCGGAGAGAAGUAGAGAACCCACAACGAAUAGGGAGAGAUGUCUAUAUACUAGACGAGCACGAGCCACCAACGACCUUGAGCUACAUACAGCCUACAGGAACUUCUUUACUCCGAAGAAAAUAUUGGAUUUUACUCGAACGAUGAAACUAUCUGUAAUUGCACAAGGAUCAUUCUCUCUCUUUUUUUCCCUGAAAAGUGACAGAGACUAUUCGUUGCUCAUGAAGGAAUGUGUUUUGAGAUCCACUAGCCAAGUAUCAGCAACGUGUAUAGUUCCCAAUUCCAUCACAAAUUUUGGCUAAACACAAGUAUCACAGAUAUCCUGCAUCAUUUACCAUAAUCAAUAAACGAUAUAACCACCCAAAUAUAACAACAUUUGAAUUUUACCAAAUGUCGACAAUUGAUUUCUGUAGAGAGAUCAAUCGCAUACCUGAGGC
rnacentral:lncRNA from 1 species